rnacentral:rRNA from 1 species
GACGAACGCUGGCGGCGUGCUUAACACAUGCAAGUCGAACGGAAAGGCUCUGCUUGCAGGGUACUCGAGUGGCGAACGGGUGAGUAACACGUGGGUGAUCUGCCCUGCACUUCGGGAUAAGCCUGGGAAACUGGGUCUAAUACCGGAUAUGACCUUCCAUGUAGUGUGGGGGGUGGAAAGAUUUAUCGGUGUGGGAUGAGCCCGCGGCCUAUCAGCUUGUUGGUGGGGUAAUGGCCUACCAAGGCGUCGACGGGUAGCCGGCCCGAGAGGGUGGACGGCCACAUUGGGACUGAGAUACGGCCCAGACUCCUACGGGAGGCAGCAGUGGGGAAUAUUGCACAAUGGGCGGAAGCCUGAUGCAGCGACGCCGCGUGGGGGAUGACGGCCUUCGGGUUGUAAACCUCUUUCGACAGGGACGAAGCUUCGGUGACGGUACCUGUAGAAGAAGCACCGGCUAACUACGUG